rnacentral:rRNA from 1 species
AAUUAUGUUGAUUAAAGUUCGAAAUAGAAAAGUGAUAAUGACACAUUCUAUUUUUAGUCUUGACUAAUACACGUGCCAGCAGUCGCGGUAAUACGUGAAAGACAAGUGUUAUUCAUUUUUAAUAGGUUUAAAGGGUACGUAGACGGUUAGUAAAGCCUGAAUAUAAGGAACUAAUUAACUAGAGUUUUAUGUAAAAAGGUUAGAGCGGUGAGUGUAGAGAUAAAAUUUUUUGAUACCACUUAGAAACUGGCAAAUGCGUAGGCAGCCUUUUAUGUACAAACUGACGUUGAGAGACGAAGGCUCGAUUAAGUAACAGGAUUAGAUACCCUAGUAUUGUGAGCAGAAAAUGAUGAAUGUCUUAUGCAAGAUCUAUAUUUAUCUUGUGUAAAAAUGAAAGUGUAAGCAUUCCACCUCAAGAGUAAUAUGGCAACAUAUAAACUGAAAUCAUUAGACCGUUUCUGAAACCAGUAGUGAAGUAUGUUGUUUAAUUUGAUAAUCCACAAAUAACCUUACCACAAUUUGAAUAUUUAUGUAAAUAAAUACAAGCGUUGCACGGCUGUCCUCAGUUAAUGUCGCGAGAUUUUGGUUAGAUCCAUUAAAUUAACGUAAACCCUUACUUUAUUUGUUAUAAAGUAGUUCGCCAUUAUAUUGGUAAUGAUAUAAGGGACAAAGACAAGUCAUCAUGGCCUAAAUAUUGUGGGCUAUAGAGUUUCCCAUAAA